CCUUCCCUCCUCUUGCUCGCUCAUUAACAAUGGCGACGAUCUCCUCCGCCCCUCUGCACCGUGCCCCAUGGCAACCCAAGCCUUUCGUCUCCACAGAAAAAAUCUCUUCGCUCGAUACAGAGGAACUGGCCAGGCUGGGGAGUGAGGGAGGGGAUUUGUGCGUGCUGGGUUGCGGAGGGGGUUCGAUUCGACGAGCCUGGGGCACGGGGGCGGGCGGACGGGCCACUGGACCUGCGCCCACUGGCCGGCAUCGACGACGGCGGGGACGCACGCGCAGCGCGGCAUCCCGAGUUGACGCCCAUGGAGCGCGUUGAGCAGUGGUUGACAGGAUUUGGCCGCAUUUUUAUUGAUCUUCCCUGAAUUUAUCCUUCUCCUGUUUCCAUUAGUUGACAUGACACUUAGAAGGUUAGGAUCGUAACUUUCAAAGUUGUACUUUCUGAAAGUGUUGACUUCUUGGGUUGCUGAUAUAUGUCAGUGAAAUCGGAGGCGCCACUACAAUCACAAAACAAUGAUUUUCUGUAGGAGAUUAUAAGCAGGUCACUCAAAAGGCAGUGGGUGUUGCUUUUGGCAUAUUUGAUCCUGUCCAUGUUAGAUAUGUAAGUAAAACAUUACUGUAUGUUAAAAUUGAAUGGUGAAAUUACCAUGCAAUCAAAUUUAAGACGUUUCAUUUAUCAGCCUCUCACCCAAUUUUUCCUUUAAUCUUGUAUAAGAUUUUUUGUGCGGUAUUAUAGUGCCUUCAUUACAUUAUGAAUAAUUUCACGCAAGAAAGUUUGAAGAGGUUGUUGUUGCUCGCUCACUACUUCAUGCAUGCUUGAAAUACCUGCACUGAUACUAUCCCGUUGCCGAGUCAAAUGUUCGAAGGUAACGUUCUUAUCUCACUUUUGGUGUGGCUUCUCCAAUUUUGUUAGACAUAAAUACUAUCUAAUGGCAAAACACAACUGUCUGCAGACUAAUAUAAGACAUUUAUUGAUAAAGGAAGAAAACACAAAAUUCAGCGAGGAUUAUCUUUGCAAAUUCACUAUGAGCAUAUAGAAAGUUUGAUAGAACCACAUGGUCUAAGAUAAGAGCACAACAGUAAUUUAAGUGCACAAGUAUAUCUUUGUCUUAUAAUGUGUGUACUAACCAUGCAUGUAAGGAUGUGUUUUCUCCAGUGGCACACAUACAUUACAUAUCUUUAGUUAUUGCGCUUAUGGCCACCUAAAAUGAAUAGGUGUGUAUAAAUUUCUUGUCAUUGGCUCACUGCUAAUCAUAUAUAUUUGUUUUUCAGUGUUACAAACAAAUGUGAGGGAGAUGAUGAUCCAUGUAUUGCCAUGUAACAUAGUGUCUUCUACCAUAUGCCGUGUGCCAUUUUGACAUGUAAACUAUAUGAAUUUCUAUUGGGCCUGGACAAUUAAAAUAACUUUCUGUGAUUAAUUCAAUAUAUAGUAUGAAAUUUGUGUGGAUAGGUAACUGCAGCUGCUCUUGUGCUACAACUCACCAUGGUGACUGGUGCUUCACUAUGAGCCUGCAACCAGAUUGUGGUCGCCUCCCUGGCUUCCUCAUGUUGGACGAUCAAGGGCACAAGCAUUGGGAGUAUUGAAUGCACCAACAGUUGAAGGAGCUCAUCCAUCCACUGAGAGCAUUGCAGCUUUCCACGUCUACUUUAGUUGCAUCAGAUACUUCAUCCUUUAACUGUAUUGCCAAUGUCACUUACAUAUAUGUAACUAAGAGAAAUUAGCACUUUGUAAGGAUGUCACACUAUUACUAUUUCGACGUGUUUCGCUGAGAAGCUUUGCCAAGAUUAGUAUAGUGAUCAGUUUUAUGGAAUGCCAUUUGUUCACUUUCCUUGUACG